AACAGUAAUAAUAAAAACAGUCAAAAAUAUUUAUGAGACCCAAGAGGCUGCCACAGGAACACCGUGGCUCAUGGGCCCUGAUCCUCUGUGCUGGGCCUCAGGGAUAAAUUCGGUCACGGACACCA